rnacentral:misc_RNA from 1 species
AGCAGCCGCGGUAAUUCCAGCUCCAAUAGCGUAUAUUAAAGUUGUUGCAGUUAAAAGCUCGUAGUUGAAUUUCGGGGUUAGUAGGUUGGUCAUGCCUCUGGUAUGUACUGGUCUCACUGAUUCCUCCUUCCUGAUGAGCCGUAAUGCCAUUAAUUUGGUGUUGCGGGGAAUUUGGACUGUUACUUUGAAAAAUUAGAGUGUUUAAAGCAAGCUAACGCUUGAAUACAUUAGCAUGGAAUAAUGAAAUAGGACGUUCGAUCCUAUUUUGUUGGUUUCUAGGAUUGACGUAAUGAUUAAUAGGGAUAGUUGGGGGCAUUAGUAUUCAAUUGUCGGAGGUGAAAUUCUUGGAUUUAUUGAAGACUAACUACUGCGAAAGCAUUUGCCAAGGAUGUUUUCAUUAAUCAAGAACGAAAGUUAGGGGAUCGAAGACGAUCAGAUACCGUCGUAGUCUUAACCAUAAACUAUGCCGACUAGGGAUCGGGAUGAUGUUAAUUUUUUAAUGACUCAUUCGGCGCCUUAC